rnacentral:lncRNA from 1 species
ACUACAUGAAUUUGACAACCUAAUAAAUUACAAAACUACAUAUGGAAUAAGAAAAGUUUCCAACACAUUACAAGGUAAUUUAUGAAUUACAUACUAACUACAUAGAAGAAGAAACUAAUUUACUACAAAUUUCUGUAUAAUCAGCAAAUUUAAAGAAUGUCUGCCUCUUUGGACAUGAUUUUUCCAUCAAAAUCAUGGUCUCUUCUUGUGAUCCAUACCAUACAGCAAAGUUCCAAAACUUCAGCUUCUAAACAUGCUGAUUUAGCCAACCUGUGGCUAAAUCUGCAGGUUGCAGCUUAUGGACAAACAGUCAAAAAGAAAAUGAAAACAGUAUUUUUGAGUAAAAGGAAUCAUGUGAAAGAGAUAAAGAAAGAACUAUAAAUAAUAUCAAACCUAAAUUCUAUUAUGAGACAAAGCUAUUUUUUGCAGUUUUAAGAACAUUUUUAACUACUGAAAUGCAUAGAAAGGCAAAGGAAAAGUUGAUGGAAAACAAUAAACAAAUAUUACUUUCUACUAUUAAAUCAUAUAUUCAUACACACAUAGCCAUGAAUAAUUUUAGGUUUGCACAAAUAAACUCAUUCUCAUAGUUAGAAUAUGAUUACAUACUUAGAGAUGAUUCAAAGUAAGACCAAAUAAAGGUCACUAACCCAUCUGAAUCUUCCAAAGAUAGUGAGCAACAGUACACAACAAACAACAGUCAAAUCAAAGCCCAAGUUCAGCUUCUAAAACUCAGAGAUUUCAACUCAAGAAAACCAAGAAAGAACCUUCUACUUCAAGUCAUUUUUCAGCUUUUAAGAAAACCAAGGAAGAAAGUUUCUCUGAAAUUCCUUAAACCUAAACUUUUUCAGAAGAGGAAUGAAUGAUUUAUUGAGCAGUAGAUUGAUGCUUAACAUCUAUCUGAAAUUCUGUGUAUGAAAGGCACUAUAUACAGGGAUAUACAAUGCCACGUGCUGAAGGAAUUAUUCCUUAGUCACAAUAUAAUUAAAUUCCUAACAUGGCGUCCCUAAAGUUUCAGUCUGUUCAUUUAAACCCCAAAAUCCUGAAAAAUUACAAACUAAACUAACAAUUCUCUAAUAGAAAACACAGUCAAACUGAAUCAAAUAGCAUCAAUAGGUUUUUGAAAUAAAUAACAAUCCAAUGAUUCACCAAUUGAAACCUACAUUUAACAAGAACAAUCCGUGAAUAACCUAUUUCAACUUUUGAACCAAUUAAAACAAGGAGUCAAAUGAUACAAAUAUACUAAUUUUAGUUUCAUUAAACACAAACAAAAACAAAAUUGAAAAGAAAACUGGAACCUUGAUGGCAAAGUCGAACAUUAUCUCUGAACUACAUGAUUAUCAUUAACGAUUAAGUACAGAAGUAUAAUUAAUAAACCUAAAACCAGAAAAAAUAGUCAUGCAAUCUAAGCAAAACAAAAACAUGAAGAAAAAAGAGGAGAAAAUAAGAGGGAAACGAAUAAAACAAAGUAGAGGAGAAAUAACUUUCUUUGCUUUGGAAACCUUUCGUGAACGUGGACAAACUCUUCAAAGAAAGAAAGUGAACCUUCAACCAUCAUUAAUCGACUAUCUUUAACAGGAGACAAUCGAUUAAUGACGGUUUGAGGUUCAUCCAACCACGCAUCGACCAAAAAAAAGAAGUGGGGAAGUUCUAGGGCUUUUUCGGAAUCUAAGAUUUGAAAUUUGAACAAACUGGGAUUGAUUCGAGGGGGACUAAAGGUGGUUUGGGGGCUUAUAGAGGGGUAAGGGUUGUAGGGUGUUAAUUUGGAAUGAUUUGGAAUGAUUAGGGUUCGACCAGAUUCUUCGAUCCAAGAUUCAAAAAAAACCACGAGUAUUUUGGAAAAACGGUUAAGGGAUUCGUAGAGAGCGGGUGAAGGGGGAUCUGUUAUGUUAAUUUGGAAAACUUUGGACCGUUGGUACCGCCGUGAAGCGAUUUCUGAUGGUGUAUUACGUAGGAGGCGGCAAAGGAAUAGGAAGCGGCUAGGGUUUCUCUUGGUUAAAGAGACUGAGUGAGGAUGAGGGGAUCCGAU